rnacentral:rRNA from 1 species
UUAAAAGCUCGUAGUUGGAUUUCUGGCAGGAGCGACCGGUCCGCCGCAAGGUGUGCACUAGGUCGUCUCCAGUCAUCUUUGUGGGAACUGCUCUGGCAUUAGGUUGUCGGGGUUAGGGAACACAUCGUUUACUGUGAAAAAAUUAGAGUGUUUAAAGCAGGCUUAUGCCGUUGAAUACAUUAGCAUGGAAUAAUAAGAUAGGACUUUGGUGGUCUAUUUUGUUGGUUUGCACACCAAGGUAAUGAUUAAUAGGGAUAGUUGGGGGUAUUCGUAUUUAAUUGUCAGAGGUGAAACUCCCUUGGAUUUAUGAAAGACGAACUACUGCGAAAGCAUUUACCAAAGAUGUUUUCAGGGUAAUCAAGAACGAAAGUUAGGGGAUCGAAGAUGAUUAGAUACCAUCGUAGUCUUAACCAUAAACUAUGCCGACUAGGGAUUGGUGGUCCGUUCAUUAUGA